CGGAUGAGCGUGCUACCAUGCAGUCGAACGGUGAAGCCCAGCUUGCUGGGUGGAUCAGUGGCGAACGGGUGAGUAACACGUGAGCAACCUGCCCUCCACUUCGGGAUAAGCCUUGGAAACGAGGUCUAAUACCGGAUAUGAGCGCCUGCCGCAUGGUGGGUGUUGGAAAGUUUUUCGGUGGGGGAUGGGCUCGCGGCCUAUCAGCUUGUUGGUGGGGUAAUGGCCUACCAAGGCGUCGACGGGUAGCCGGCCUGAGAGGGCGACCGGCCACACUGGGACUGAGACACGGCCCAGACUCCUACGGGAGGCAGCAGUGGGGAAUAUUGCACAAUGGGCGAAAGCCUGAUGCAGCGACGCCACGUGAGGGAUGACGGCCUUCGGGUUGUAAACCUCUUUCAGCAGGGAAGAAGCGCAAGUGACGGUACCUGCAGAAGAAGCGCCGGCUAACUACGUGCCAGCAGCCGCGGUAAUACGUAGGGCGCAAGCGUUGUCCGGAAUUAUUGGGCGUAAAGAGCUCGUAGGCGGUCUGUCGCGUCUGGUGUGAAAUCCCAUGGCUCAACCAUGGGCUUGCAUCGGGUACGGGCAGACUAGAGUGCUGUAGGGGAGACUGGAAUUCCUGGUGUAGCGGUGGAAUGCGCAGAUAUCAGGAGGAACACCGAUGGCGAAGGCAGGUCUCUGGGCAGUUACUGACGCUGAGGAGCGAAAGCAUGGGGAGCGAACAGGAUUAGAUACCCUGGUAGUCCAUGCCGUAAACGUUGGGCACUAGGUGUGGGGCCAGUUCCACUGGUUCUGUGCCGCAGCUAACGCAUUAAGUGCCCCGCCUGGGGAGUACGGCCGCAAGGCUAAAACUCAAAGGAAUUGACGGGGGGCCCGCACAAGCGGCGGAGCAUGCGGAUUAAUUCGAUGCAACGCGAAGAACCUUACCAAAGGCUUGACAUGUACGAGAAAGCCCCAGAGAUGGGGUUCUCUUUGGACACUCGUACACAGGUGGUGCAUGGGU
rnacentral:rRNA from 1 species